UGGGUUUGAACUGUACAGGCAAGUCUCAGAGAUGAGAGCCCCUCUUCGGAGGACUGUAUAGAGGUGCUGCAUGGCUGUCGUCAGCUCGUGUCGUGAGAUGUUGGGUUAAGUCCCGCAACGAGCGCAACCCUUAUUCAUAGUUACUAACGGGUCAAGCCGAGAACUCUAUGGAGACUGCCGGUGAUAAACCGGAGGAAGGUGGGGAUGACGUCAAGUCCUCAUGGCCUUUAUGU
rnacentral:rRNA from 1 species